rnacentral:misc_RNA from 1 species
UUUCCGUAGGUGAACCUGCGGAAGGAUCAUUACAGAGUUCAUGCCCUCACGGGUAGAUCUCCCACCCUUGAAUAUUUAUACCUUAGUUGCUUUGGCAGGCCGUGGAAACAUCAUGGGCUCCGGCUUAUGCGAGCCUGCCAGAGGAAACAAACUCUGUUUUUAGUGAUGUCUGAGUACUAUAUAAUAGUUAAAACUUUCAACAACGGAUCUCUUGGUUCUG